rnacentral:rRNA from 1 species
GAUGAACGCUGGCGGCGUGCCUAAUACAUGCAAGUCGAGCGAACAGACGAGGAGCUUGCUCCUCUGACGUUAGCGGCGGACGGGUGAGUAACACGUGGAUAACCUACCUAUAAGACUGGGAUAACUUCGGGAAACCGGAGCUAAUACCGGAUAAUAUAUUGAACCGCAUGGUUCAAUAGUGAAAGACGGUUUUGCUGUCACUUAUAGAUGGAUCCGCGCCGCAUUAGCUAGUUGGUAAGGUAACGGCUUACCAAGGCAACGAUGCGUAGCCGACCUGAGAGGGUGGUCGGCCACACUGGAACUGAGACACGGUCCAGACUCCUACGGGAGGCAGCAGUAGGGAAUCUUCCGCAAUGGGCGAAGGCCUGACGGAGCAACGCCGCGUGAGUUAUGAAGGUCUUCGGAUCGUAAAACUCUGUUAUUAGGGAAGAACAAAUGUGUAAGUAACUAUGCACGUCUUGACGGUACCUAAUCAGAAAGCCACGGCUAACUACGUG